UACGUAGGGGCCGAGCGUUGUCCGGAUUCAUUGGGCGUAAAGAGCGUGUAGGCGGCUAUUUAAGUCCUGCGUGAAAUCCUGCGGCUCAACCGCAGACGGUCGUGGGAAACUGGAUGGCUAGAGUGCGGGAGAGGAGAGUGGAAUUCCCGGUGUAGCGGUGAAAUGCGCAGAUAUCGGGAAGAACACCCGUGGCGAAGGCGGCUCUCUGGAACGCAACUGACGCUGAGACGCGAAAGCGUGGGGAGCAAACAGG
rnacentral:rRNA from 1 species